rnacentral:rRNA from 1 species
UACGAAGGGGGCUAGCGUUGCUCGGAAUCACUGGGCGUAAAGGGUGCGUAGGCGGGUCUUUAAGUCAGGGGUGAAAUCCUGGAGCUCAACUCCAGAACUGCCUUUGAUACUGAAGAUCUUGAGUUCGGGAGAGGUGAGUGGAACUGCGAGUGUAGGAGGUGAAAUUCGUAGAUAUUCGCAAGAACACCAGUGGCGAAGGCGGCUCACUGGCCCGAUACUGACGCUGAGGCACGAAAGCGUGGGGAGC